rnacentral:rRNA from 1 species
AGUGAACGCUGGCGGUAGGCCUAACACAUGCAAGUCGAACGGCAGCACAGUAAGAGCUUGCUCUUACGGGUGGCGAGUGGCGGACGGGUGAGGAAUGCAUCGGAAUCUACUUUUUCGUGGGGGAUAACGUAGGGAAACUUACGCUAAUACCGCAUACGACCUACGGGUGAAAGCAGGGGAUCUUCGGACCUUGCGCGAUUGAAUGAGCCGAUGUCGGAUUAGCUAGUUGGCGGGGUAAAGGCCCACCAAGGCGACGAUCCGUAGCUGGUCUGAGAGGAUGAUCAGCCACACUGGAACUGAGACACGGUCCAGACUCCUACGGGAGGCAGCAGUGGGGAAUAUUGGACAAUGGGCGCAAGCCUGAUCCAGCCAUACCGCGUGGGUGAAGAAGGCCUUCGGGUUGUAAAGCCCUUUUGUUGGGAAAGAAAAGCAGCAGGUUAAUACCCCGCUGUUCUGACGGUACCCAAAGAAUAAGCAUCGGCUAACUUCGUG